GAUGAACGCUGGCGGCGUGCCUAAUACAUGCAAGUCGAGCGAACAGACGAGGAGCUUGCUCCUCUGACGUUAGCGGCGGACGGGUGAGUAACACGUGGAUAACCUACCUAUCAGACUGGGAUAACUUCGGGAAACCGGAGCUAAUACCGGAUAAUAUAUUGAACCGCAUGGUUCGAUAGUGAAAGACGGUUUUGCUGUCACUUAUAGAUGGAUCCGCGCCGCAUUAGCUAGUUGGUAAGGUAACGGCUUACCAAGGCGACGAUGCGUAGCCGACCUGAGAGGGUGAUCGGCCACACUGGAACUGAGACACGGUCCAGACUCCUACGGGAGGCAGCAGUAGGGAAUCUUACGCAAUGGGCGAAAGCCUGACGGAGCAACGCCGCGUGAGUGAUGAAGGUCUUCGGAUCGUAAAACUCUGUUAUUAGGGAAGAACAAAUGUGUAAGUAACUAUGCACGUCUUGACGGUACCUAAUCAGAAAGCCACGGCUAACUACGUG
rnacentral:rRNA from 1 species